rnacentral:lncRNA from 1 species
GGACACAAUACCUUUAUUUUAUUUAUCUAUCUUUAUGUGGUGCUGAGCAUUGAAACACAGGACCUCACACAUGCUAGGCAAGCACUAUAUCACUGAGCUACAACCCCAGCCCAAAACACAGGAUAUUACUGGCACAAAAUCAACAAAUGGAGUGAGAAAGAAGGUUUAGAAAUAGCCUUGAAUAUUUCUGCGAAUUUAGUUUAUGAUCAAUGUAAUUGUUUGAAUUAGUGGAGGGGAAAGUGACUAAUAGGUUUCCUUGAAAGAUAACUAAUAUGAGGCCCUAGGCUCAAUCCCUAGUCUCUAAGACUGCAAAAGAAAGGAAGAAAGGGGGAAAAAUGGCAUGCAGAUACCACAUAUGCUAGUCAACAGAUAACCUUGGGUAACCAAGGAUAACAUGGGUCUCACCUACGUUUAGGAAAGAUCCACAGUUCUUAGCCCAGACAACCCACUCCUUUUCUGACACUCCAGGUACUCCAUAUCCUAGUCCAAGCUCCCUGAGGACACACACUAAGAAUUAUUUUAACAGCUUCAUUUAGAUGUAAUUCACGUACAAUAAAAAUUUACCCAUCUAAAGCAUACAGCUGUUUUUCACUUUAUUCACAGUGUCAGGCAGCCAUUACAAUCUAAUUCUAGCAUACUUUUAUCCUCCUAAAAGAAACUAUACCCACUAUUGCUUAUUCCUUAUUCCUCCCUGCCACAAUACCACAAGCCCCAAUCAAUCAUUGAUCCACCUUCUUUCUAUGCAUUUGCCUAUUCUGGACAUUUCAAGUAAAUGUGGUCUUUUGUGACUGACUUCUUUCACUUAGCCUUAUGGUUUCAAGGUCUACUCAUUUUGUAGUUUUAUCACUACCUUAUUAUUUUUGUCAAAUAAUGUUCCAUUGUAUGAAUAUAUAUAUUAUUUAUCCAUUCAUUAGUUGAUGGAUUUGGGGGUUAUUUCCAUUUUGGGCCAUUGUGAGUAAUGCAGCUAUAAACAUUUCACAUACAGAUUUUUGUGCAGAUGUGUUUUCAGUUCUCUAGUAUAUAUAUUAGGAAUUGCUGGGUCAUAUGGUAACUCUAUGUUUAACUAUCUGAAGAAAUGUCAGGCUGUUUUCCAAACUGGUUUACAUUCCCAUUAGCAAGGUUUGAGUGUUCUAAUUUCUCUACAUUUUCACUAACACUUGAUCUUUUUUUUUUUAAGAGAGAGAAUUUUUUUUUUUUUAAAGAGAGAAUUUUUUUUUAAUAUUUAUUUUUUAGUUAUCGGCGGGCACAACAUUUUUUUUUUUUUUUUUUUUGUAUGUGGUGCUGAGGAUCGAACCCGGGCCGCACACAUGCCAGGCGAGCGCGCUACCGCUUGAGCCACAUCCCCAGCCCGAGAGAGAAUUUUUUUAAUAUUUAUUUAUUUUUUUUUAGUUUUCAGUGGACACAACAUCUUUUUUACUUUUUUUUUAAUGUGGUGCUGAGGAUCGAACCCAGUGCCCUGUGCAUGCCAGGCGAGUGUGUUACCGCUUGAGCCACAUCCCCAGCCCAAUACUUGUUCUUGUCUGUCUUUUUUAUUAUAGUUAUUCUACUGUGUGAGAAUAUCAUGAUUUUGAUUUGUGUUUCUCUGAUUGCAUGUGAUGUUGAGCUUAUAUAUUUAUUGGUCAUUUAGAUAAAUGUCUAGUCUAGCCUAUUUUUUUUCUUAUUUUUUUUAGUUAUAGAUGGACACAAUAUCUUUAUUUUUGUUUUUGUUUAUUUUUAUGUGGCGCUGAGGAUGGAACCCAGUGCUUCACAUGUGUGAGGCAAGUGCUCUGCCACUGAGCCACAAUCCCAGACCAAGUCUAGCCUAUUUUUAAAUUGGGGGUUUUUGUCUUUUUAUUGGUAAGAGGUAAGAGUUCUUUCUGUGUUCUAAGUACAGUUUAUGAUUUGUAAAAUGUUUUCCCAUUGUAUGAGUUGUUUUCACUUUUAUGCAUGCAUAUGCGUGUGUGUAUGCGUGUGUGUGUGUGUGUGUGUGUGUGUUAUGUGUGUGAACUGAACCCAGGGACACGCUACCACUGAGCUGCAUCCCCAGCCCCCUUUUUAAGUCAGGGUUGAGUUGCUGAAGCUGACCUUGAACUUGAGAUCCUCCUGCAUUACCUCCUGAGUUGCUGGUAUUACAGGCAUACACCACCAUGCCUGGCUGAGUAUUGCCAUCUUAAGAAUAUUAAAUCUUCUCACCCAUGAGAUGUUUUUUUCAUUUAGUCAGAUUUUUUUUUUUUUUUUUUUUUUGGUACCAGGGGCACUUAACCACUGGGCCACAUCCCCAGCCCAUUUUUGAAUUUUAUUUAGAGACAGGGUCUCACUGCUGGCUUUGAACUCUCAAUCCUCCUGCCUCAGCCUCCCAAGUCACUGGGAUUACAGGUAUGCACCACUGUACCCUACUAGUUAGAUCUUUAAUUUCUUCUUAUUUUUACCUUUUAAUGUAGUGCUGAGGUUAGAACCCAGUGCCUCACAUGAGCGAGGCAAGCGCUCUGCCACUGAGCCACAACCCCAGCCCAGAUCUUUAAUUUUUUUCAAUAGUAUUUUAUAGUUUUCAGUAUAUAAAUUGUAUACUCCUUUUGCUAAUUUUAUAUCAAAGUGUUAUAUUUCUUUUGUUGAUAUUACAAACUGUGUAUUUCAUUUUUGGAUUGUUUAUUGCUAGUGAUGAGAAAUACAAUAUAUUUUUGUAUACUAUUCUUGUGUUCUAUAGCCUUGCUGAACUUGUUUAUUAGCACUAAUGGUUUUGUUUUUUUGUUUUUUAUUUUUUGUUUUUUUUUGUGUGUGUGUGUAUGUCCCUGAGAACUUUCUGUAUACAAGAUCAUGUUAUCUGUAAAUGGAUCUUCCUUUUCAAUCUGGAUGCCUUUUAUUUCUUUUUCUUGUCUAAUUUUCCAAACUAAAACUUUCAUAUGUGUUAAAUAGAAGUGGUGGGAGUAGAUGUCCUUGUUUUGUUCCUGAUCUCAGGAGGAAAGCACCCAAUCUUUCACAAUUAAUUAUGAUAUUUGCUGUGAAUUAUUCAUAGAUGCCUUUUGAUAAUUAGCACAUCGAAGAAGUUUCCUUUUACUUCUGUUAAGCUUUUUUUUUUAAUUAUGAAAGCAUUGAAUUUUAUCAAAUGUAUUUUCUGUGUCUAUUGAGAUCAUGUUUUUGUUUUUGUUUUUGUGGUAAACUGGGAUCAAACCCAGGGCUUUGCUCAUGAUAGGCAAGUGAGCUACAAUCCCCAACCUGUUUUUUCUUUAUUUUACUAAUAGCCUGUAUUAAAUUAAUUCACUGUUUGAUGUUAAACCUACUUUAUAUUCCUAGGAUAAAUCCCACUUGGUCAUGCUGUAUAAUCCUUUUGUCUGUAUUGCUGGAUUGGUUUGCUAGUAUUUUGUUGAUGAUUUUGUGUCUGUAUUCUUAAGAAUAUUGAUCUGUAGUUUUCUUGUGAUGUCUUUGUCCAGUUUUGUUAUUUGGGUAAUGCCUAGACAGUCUGACUUCUGUCCCUCACUAUUCUGCCCCAACUUCCUUUAACCCCCAACCCCCAUGUCUUACCAGGCUUUCCCGGGUGGUGAAUACAUCUGCUACUGGGACAAUCACUGACAUGAAUUCAGUCUGUACUUUGGACUGUGGUCAUCAUCCCCUCUCCAUCCAAACGGCUAGAUAAAUCAGGGCUUGCCUAAGGCCUUGGGUUUAAUACCCAGCUCCCCGCAAAAAAGCUAGGUGCAAUGGCCCCCAUCUAUAAUCACAGCUAUGCAGGAGGCUGAGGUAUGAGGACCACAGUUCGAGGCCAGCCUCAGAAACUUAGACCCUAUUUCAAAAGAAAUAGGGGUAUGUAACUCAGCAGUAGAUGCCCUGGGGUUCAAUCCCCAGUACUGGGAGGAAAAGAAGAAAGAUAGAAAAGAUAGAGAAAAGAAAGAAAAAAAUGGGACUCCUCACAGGAGAAUGCUCUGGGAUUAGGGCUGAGGAAGAGGUAGGGAAGGCAGCAGGCUCCGCAGGCAGGACAAUUAUCCUGGAUUCAGAGAUUUGGAGACCAGUUGUGGUCUAUUGACACACAGCCCACUCAACAACUCCCUCCCCUAGAGACUGCUUUCCGGCAGUCUUGGCCCCAGCUCUAACCUCAUUUUCCAUCUACUCCUUCCAUCUCAUCCAGCCAUCACAGGCUUCUGUUGAUUUCUUUGUUUCUUCCCAGCCUUGGGACCUUUGCACUCACCAUUCCCUGGGGAUGGAACCCACUGCCCUACAUUUGUUCAUGAUGUUCUUCCCUCUCAAGCUUUAGUUCAAAUGUCACUGUAUUAGGUUUCCAUUACUGCAUAAUAAAUCACUACGAAUUUAGCAGCUUAAAACAAUACCCAUUUAUUAUCUCAGUUCUGUAGGCCAUAAGUCCAGGCAAACUCUGCUGUGUACUCUAUUUAGGUCUCACAAGGCUAAGUCAAGGGUGUCAGCCAGCCUGGGAUUUUAUCUGGAGGUUCUGGUGUAGAAUUCACUUCCAGGCUCAUCCAAGUUAUUAAACGAACUCAGUAACAAGCUGGGCCCAGCAGCACAUGCCUGUAAUCCCAGAGACUGAGGCAGGAGGAUCACAAGCUGGAGGCCAAGCCUCAGCAAUGCAGUAAGACCCUCAGUAACUGCAAGAGACCCUGUCUCAAACAAUGAAGAGCUGCAGGUACAAAUUAGUGCUAAAGUAUGCCCUGGGUUCAGCCCUCAAUACAAAAAGGGAAUUCAGUUCCAUAAAGCUAUAGAAUUAAGGUUUCUGUUUCUUUGUCAGCCAUAGGUUGUUUUCAGCAUUCAGAAGAUGUCUACAUUCCUCCAUCUUGGUAGCCAUCAAAGGCACAUCAAGUUUUUCUCCUGCUUCAAAUUCCUGACUUUUCUGCCUUCCUCUCUGUUGUUAGUUGGAGACACUUCCCUACUUUUAAGAGCUCAUGUGAUACAUCAGGCCCACCUGAAUGAUAAUCUCCCUGUUUUAACCUAAGUUAACCUGAAUUAGUAACCUCAAUUACAUCUGUAAAGUCACUUUUGCCAUAUGAGGUAAUAUUUGGGAUUAGAGCAUGGAAUAUUCAGGACCAUUAAUUUAUGUAUCAUAUUUUAUCCUCUAGCCCUCUAAGAUUCAUGUCUGUCCCAUAUGCAAAAUACAUUCCUAUCAAAGUCUCAACCUGUUACAACAUCAAGUCAGAGUCCAAAAAAUCUCUUAGCAAACAUCCCAAAUCUUAUAUAGAUCAGAUACAGAUAAGGGUCUGGGUACCUGUGAAAUUAGGGAAACAAGUCCUGAGUGGUGUGGUGGCAAAUACCUGUAAUCCCAGCUAUUUAGGAGGCUGAGGCAGGAGGACUGCAAGUUUGAGGCCAGCCCUGAGCAACUUAGCUAGAUUCUGUCUCAAAAUUUAAAACAAAACAAAACAAAACAAAAGUUGGUAGAGUACUUGCCUAGCAUGUGUAAAGACUUAGGUUCAAUCCCUAAUACUGCAAGAAAAGAAACAAAUCCUGUGCUUCUGAUGGACAAUAGUGGGAUAGGCACAGGAUAAUGGUUAAGAAAGACUGGCUCAAAAGAGGAGACAGAAAGUCAGGAGUUACUAAUCCAAAGCAAUUUAAAAAUCCACAUGGGAAAUUUUCUACAGGUUUCCAGGACCAGGAAAAAAAAAAAUCCUAAUGGGUUUCUGCCCUUUACGCUCUCAGUUUCACCCUUUGGAUUAGUCCCCUUUCCUAAGAACCAUUCAUGAGUACCUGCUAGAACAGCUGUAUCCAAUUUUUUGUCAUAUCACAAUGUUAUGUUAAUUUUUGUUUUCCAUCACAUUCCAUAAUGCCUAGAACAUAGGUCUUGCUCAAAAAAUAUUAUGAAUAAAUGAAUGAGUAAAUGUGGUAUGGAGGGUUGAAUAACAGUCCCCCAAAUAUGUACAUGUCCCAAUUCCUGGAAUCUGUGAAUGUUAACUUCUAUGGCAAAAGGGACUUUGAAAGUGUAAUUGAGCAGCUUAAGAUGGGAAGAAUGUCUUGGAUUAUCUGUAUGGGCCCUAUGCAAUUACAAGGAUCCUCCUAAGAGGGACACAGAAGUUAAGAGAAGAUGGUGUGAAACUGAAUAGAUAGAUGUGCUCUCCAAUGAAGGAGUGGGCCACCAGCUAAGGAAUACAGGAAACUACUAAAAGCUGAAAAAAGCAAAGGACUGGAUUCUCCAUUGGAGCCACCAGUAGGAAGCAAUUCUGCUGACACUUUGAGCACAGUGAAACUGAUUUUGGACUUCGGACCUCCAGAACUAUAAAAGAAUAAAUGUAUGUUGUUUUAAGUAAUUAAGUUCAUGAUAAUUUGACAUAUCAGUAAUAGAAAAAUAAUACAGUUGGAGUAACACAGUGUUGGCUAUAGCUGCUAGUGGUCCCCAAUAUCUCUCCCCACCUUUUGGAGUAAGAGAACUUUAAUUUGGCAAAAAGCUGCUCAGGGUAUAAAGAUUAUAUUUCUCAGCAAUUCUUUCAUCUGGGUGUGGCCUUGUGACUUACAUUCUAUCCACUGAAUCAGAGCAGAAAUGAUCUGUACAACUUGAGUCAUGCAAUUUAGGGGAAACUGCAAGCCAUCCUCUUCAAGUUCCUGCCUUCAUAAGGGCGGGACUGUGGAAAUGGGUGGACCAUCUUGGGUCCAAGAAGGGAUGAAAACAAGAUAAAAUGAACCCUAGGUCUUGAUGACUUUAUGGAAAGACCCACCAUACUACUAACUUGGACUUUAAAAAAAUUUUUUUUUUAGUUGUAGGUGUAUUUUUAUUUAUUUAUUUUUAUGUGGUGCUGAGGAUCAAACCCAGUGCCACACCCAUGUUAGGCAAGCACUCUACCACUGAGUCACAACCCUAGCCCCUAAUUUGGACUAUUAUAUGAGGGAAAUUUCUAACUUAAGGCACAGUUAUUCUGGGUCUCUAUUUCAUGAAGCUGUCUCCAUACUAUGCAAACGAAUGUAGGAUUCCCAGUUACUAUCCAUUAUGUUGACAUUGUUUUGAAGGGUGGAUAGCUGUGGAAUUAAGGCAAGUUUAGGCUUUACUUUUCUUUUUUUCCUUCUUGCAGCUCUUCUGCAAGGGUGCCACCAUGGUCUUAGGAUAUAUGUGAGGUUGAUGUAAUGCUAGAAGAUCUAGGCCCACCCUAUAUUUGACCUCUCCACUAGGAUAGGUCCAUACUACUUCCUCCAAGUAGUAUGGUGGGUCUUUCCAUAAAGUCAUCAAGACCUAGGGUUCAUUUUAUCUUGUUUUCAUCCCUUCCUCCAAGGUUAUUUUUCUCAUCCACAUGAGCGGCUGCCACUAGUUACAAAGAGCCAGUAAGAAUCAAGAAGCUUCGUUGGAUAGGACCUGAACAGGGGGAAAAGGCUCAGACAUCAUAAUAUCACUGAAGUUCAUUAUGGUAUGCAAAUUAUCAUAGUGAUGGAAAAGGAGAACCAAGUAGAGGAGGCUUUAAAGUUUGUAGGGAACUUUUAUCAAUCAGCCAGGAUCAAGUUUGCUUCAGUAACAACAAUCCAAGUAUCUCAGUGGCUCACAACAACAAAUACAUAUUUCUGACAGAGUAUAACUCGGUGUCUUCCACAGGACAGCUACCCUUCUGUACCAUUGUGUGUAUGUGUGUGUUUUGCUGGGAAUUGAACCCACAGCCUUGCACAUGCUAGUUAAGUGCUCUACCACUGAGCUACUUUCUCCUAAGUCUAUGCCAUCUUUAUUCCAGAAUCCAAUCUUAAGGAACAACUCAAUCUGGAACUUUCAAUCUCAACAGAGAAAAAUGAGGAAAGGUGGCAGACUCUCUGAUGGCUCUUUUUCUUAAAUAUAUUUUUUGGAUGUAUGGACCUUUAUUUUAUUAAUUUAUUUAUAUGUGAUGCUAAGAAUCAAACCCAGUGCCUCACACAUGCUAGGCAAGCACUCUACCACUGAGCCACAGCCUCAACCCUGUGAUGACUCUUUUUUUUUAAGCAUUUUUAAAAAUUUAUUUUUUUAGUAAUACUUGGACACAAUACCUUUACUUUAUUUAUUUAUAUGUGGUGCUGAGGAUCGAACCCAGGGCCUCACAUGUGCUAGGUGAGCACUAUACUACUGAGCCACAACCCCAGUCCCCCCACCCCCACGAUGACUCUUUUUUUAAAAAAUUUAUUAUCAUUAUUUUGGUAUCAGGAAUUGAACCCAGGGGCACUUAAUCACUAAGCCACAUCCCUAGUCCAUUUUUUAUUCUGAGACAGAGUCUUGCUAAGUUACCUAGGGCUUCACUAAGUUGCUGAGACUGUCUUUGAACCUGGAUGCUCUUGCCUCAGCCUUCCCAGCUGCUGGGAUUACAGGUGUGCAACACCAUGCCUGGCCUGUGAUGGCUUUUUUUUUUUUUCCGGUAUAUGUCAUUUCCACUCAAGUUCCAUUGGCUAAAGCAUGCCAUAUAUCCAAACGUGACAUUAGUGGAGUAGGAAUAAUCUUUCCAUGUGAUUGAGCCCCAUAGAAAGUGUCAGUGAAUGUUUUUGAGCAAUUAUAAAAUCUUCCUCUUCAUCAUAAUUAUUGCCUUUGUCUUGUUUUCCACAUACAAAACAAAUGCAUCCCCUUCCCAAGAAAGACAACUCAAAUGACCCAUCUAAUCAUGACAGAUCUUUACAAAUCUCUAUAUCAUCUCCAGAUGUGGCUUCCCUUGAUCCAGAGACGAGAGAGAGAGAGAGAGAGAGAGAGAGAGAGAGAGAGAGAGAGAGAGAGAGACAUCUGUGUCCCUGCCUCGCAACACACACACAUACCCCCAACAUAUAAAGUAGAACAAGGGGUUUAGGGAUAUAAUUUAGUGGUAGAAUGCUUGCCUGACAUGUGCAAGGUCUGGAGUUCAAUCCCCAGUACCAAAAAAGGAAAAUAGUAGAAUAAGGACAGGAAAACAACAGUACAUGCUCCCAUUCACAGGGACAAAUGGGAGACAGUUACUGGUCCAUAAUAAAUCUAAAAUUCAGCAGGGUAGAUAUUGAGAAUGACCCCCAUCUUUCCCUGGAACUGCUUCCUGGGAAUAGUUUCUUGAUUCAUUCUUCAUGUUCGGUCCUUGGAGUGGACAAUCCUCUUCCAUUUAUUCUCCUUGACCACAUUUGAGAGGACAUUGGAUUUAUUUCUUACUUUGAGUUAGAAUCUAAGUUGCCACACUAGCCUCCAACUUGCAAUCUUUCUGCCUCCACCUCACAACUCACUGGGAUUAUAGGCAUGUGCCACUUUACCCAGCUUUAGGAACCACUUUAAUCAGUUCAGAGGUUUUUACAAAAGACAUAACACACUUAAUGUGGCCCUUGUCACAAAAAUGAGUUUUCAUCAAAUUUUGUCAUCCUCAGUUUUAUUUUAUUUUUUU